UAGGGAAUCUUCCACAAUGGACGCAAGUCUGAUGGAGCAACGCCGCGUGAGUGAAGAAGGUUUUCGGACCGUAAAGCUCUGUUGUUGGUGAAGAAGGAUAGAGGUAGUAACUGGCCUUUAUUUGACGGUAAUCAACCAGAAAGUCACGGCUAACUACGUGCCAGCAGCCGCGGUAAUACGUAGGUGGCAAGCGUUGUCCGGAUUUAUUGGGCGUAAAGCGAGCGCAGGCGGAAGAAUAAGUCUGAUGUGAAAGCCCUCGGCUUAACCGAGGAAUUGCAUCGGAAACUGUUUUUCUUGAGUGCAGAAGAGGAGAGUAGAACUCCAUGUGUAGCGGUGGAAUGCGUAGAUAUAUGGAAGAAUACCAGUGGCGAAGGCGGCUCUCUGGUCUGCAACUGACGCUGAGGCUCGAAAAGCAUGGGUAGCGAACAGGAUUAGAUACCCUGGUAGUCCAUGCCGUAAACGAUGAGUGCUAAGUGUUGGGAGGCUUCCGCCUCUCAGUGCUGCAGCUAACGCAUUAAGCACUCCGCCUGGGGGAGUACGACCGCAAGGUUGAA
rnacentral:rRNA from 1 species